CGAACGGGUGAGUAAUGCGUGACCAACCUGCCCCAUGCUCCAGAAUAGCUCUUGGAAACGGGUGGUAAUGCUGGAUGCUCCAACUUGACGCAUGUCUUGUUGGGAAAGUGUUUAGUGGCAUGGGAUGGGGUCGCGUCCUAUCAGCUUGUAGGCGGGGUAAUGGCCCACCUAGGCUUCGACGGUAGCCGGCCUGAGAGGGCGGACGGCCACAUUGGGACUGAGAUACGGCCCAGACUCCUACGGGAGGCAGCAGC
rnacentral:rRNA from 1 species